rnacentral:rRNA from 1 species
GACGUAGGGCGCGAGCGUUGUCCGGAAUUAUUGGGCGUAAAGGGCGCGUAGGCGGCUUUGCAAGUGACGGGUGAAAUCCCUCGGCUUAACCGAGGAACUGCCUGUCAGACUGGAAGGCUUGAGACCGGGAGAGGUGAGUGGAAUUCCCAGUGUAGCGGUGAAAUGCGUAGAUAUCUGGAGGAACACCGGUGGCGAAGGCGGCAUCCUGGACCGGCAUUGACGCUGAGGAGCGAAAGCCAGGGGAGCAAACGGG